CGCCGCGCGGGGGGGCGGGGCCAGAGUCGCCUGAGGGAAGGCGCCGCCGCGCGGGGGGGGGCGGGGCCGGCGGGAGGGGGGCGGGGCUUGGAGGGGCUUGGGGGCGGGGCCUGGCGCGGGGGCGAGGAGCGGCGCAGAUUCACCAUUGGAACCGAAGUGGGAGGGCCCGUUCCAAGUGCUGCUGACUUCUCACACUGCUAUCAAGAUAAAAGAACAAGCUCCCUGGAUUCAUCACACCCAGGUUAAGAAGGUGCAGAAGCCAUCCUGGACGGUUAAGCAAACAGGACUGCUCCGACUAUCGCUCAAGAAACAGAAUGAUUAAUGUUUUGUUUGUAGUAUGGGGUUUAGGGGUUGCCAGGGCAUGGGAAGGAAAUCUACAUUUUAACAACACCGAAGGAAUGGGGAAUGCCUUAAAUCUGUCCUCGUGCUGGACUUGCACAGCCCUCCCCAGAGGGAAUGUGGAAUCUCCCCUUUUUGGAGUUCCGGUGUCCUACGCAAACUGGAGUUGGCCAUAUGACAACCUAAAAAAUGCUACCCUGCCUUCUGGGGAAAGCCUGCUCUGGAGGGUGGGGGAAUCCUGCCCUCCAGGACAGCAACUAAGCAAACUUCCAAAUGGGGAGACCCUUUGUUGGGGCUUCUCGUCACCCUUACCAGCAAGAGGAACCCCGCUGCCGUCUUACACUUGCGGAAACAACAGCAUUCAUGCUCUUAAAUUUCAGUUGCAGGAACUGGGAAAAACAAUAUUUAUACAAAGGAAGAAUGACACUGCCCCAAGAGUGGGGCACUUUAAAUUAAGUGCUCUUAAUGGAGCAACCAUAUGCAGCAAGGAUACCCAGUCAAACUCGUCAGGAUGCCCGGCACCAAUCAUGGCAGGACUACAACUCAAUUACUCCUACAGCUGUGUCCCAGAUGGAUUAUGGUGGUUAUGUGGGGAUGGCCAUGCCAGAAAAUCCUUGCCAGACCACUGGGAUGGGACCUGUACCUUGGGGUAUGUUAUCCCUCAAGGCAGAGUGUUUAAUCAGACAAGGCCACCAGCAGGAUUAUUGAGGACAUUGUGGAAAAGGAGUAAGUGACACCUUCCAACCCGCAGUCGAUAGGCCAACGGGUUAUCACAGCUUUCUGCGUUGGCUCAUGCUGUCUCCAGGAGUGAGUGAAUUAGAAAAGGCAUUAGUAAGUAUUUCCGCCACAUUGGAGAAAAAAAGACAAUUUUACCAUAGACUGAGAGCAUUGCAGGUUGAAGUGAGCUCUCUAAGUACUGUAGGACUGCAAAAUCAAAUGGCAUUAGACUUGUUGAUGGUCAAAGAAGGCAGAGUGUGCACUGUAAUCAAAGUUGUCAUACAUAAAACAAGACAAAAGAAUCAAGACAGAUCGUGAGAAAGUUUGGGAACAAUCAAAACUCUUCCAUCUAGCACCAAUGGAUGAUACCAUGUGGGGUUUUACAGACAUUUGGGAUAAGCUUACCAGGUGGUUACCUAAUUUCAGGAUCAAGCAGCUUUCCCUCGCUUGCAUUGCUAUGUUAUUUCUUGAGAUUUUUAUAUUCUGUAUUUUAUACUGUUUUCUUUUCCUAUGUCAUCAAACCGGGCGUACCUACAAAGAAUGGAAGAAGCACAGGCUGAGGCAAAGGACAGAAGAAGGGAAGGAUUUUCUAGAUAGAAAUGGAAUAAUCUGUCAAGAAGCUGCUAGAUUAAAAAGGAGGAAUUGAGAGAAAGAAAGACCAAUUAAUGUCCUUGUAGCAAGGGGCCCAGAACUGAACCCAGCACUCGAGGUGUGGCCUCACCAGCGCAGAGCACAGGGGAACCAUCACCUCCCUGCUGCUGCUGGCUGCGCUGCUCCUGAUGCAAGCCGGGGUGCCACUGGGCUAAGAAGCCUCCUAUGUGGGGAGGGCGCGGGGGUGUGCUUUAUUGGUAAAUAAAGAUGGGAGCUCAAAAA